rnacentral:tRNA from 1 species
CAAGAAGUAGUUUAAUUAGAAUACCAGCUUUGGGUGUUGGUGGUAGGGUAUAGUCCUUCUUCUUGA